AUGUGCACGCGGGCUGCCAUGGCGCAGAGGAAUAUAAAUAUUUGCGGGAUGCCAUCCCACGAUGACUAUCUGGGUGUGGGGCGCGCGGGGCACGGGGCGCGGGACGCGUGUGCCCCGCGCCUUCGCCCCUUCCGCAAGGUGUGCUCGCUCUGGGCAGGGGGCGUGUGGGAGCGGGCUGCCCCCUCGUGUUCCACGGGGGCCAGGCCUGCUGUGCCCCUGGGCGGGGCUGGAUGGACACCGUGGUCGGACUGCGCUAUUCUCAGCACACGGCGACCAGUACGCACAUCGCCGUGUGUCCUGCCCGUGACCCCGAGUCGGGAGGCGGGUUGCGAGUUUCAUCCACCCUCAGGCUUCCUCUGUGCGUGCCCCCACCCCACCCCGCCCCGCCGCCCCAGGCCAAGUGGAUGCCCUGGAGACAAUCGCGGCUCGCAGUUUGCUUUGCCCCGAGACAGUCGAUGGGACCGCAACGCGAGUGUGCCGGGGCUACGUUCUCCUCCAGGGCACGCGUUGGUUCAGCGUGCGUGUAUCUAUCGGGAGUCUGUGCCCCGGCGAAGGCGCCGGCAACUCCGGUGGUGGGAGAAGCCUUGGACCUCGGGCCAUUUACCGCUUCUGUCCCUCGCUCUACGUGUGCGGUGCUGCCACUUCCCUCCGCCUUUGCUCCUGGCCGAGCAGGAGCGGGCGCGUUGGCUGCGCCCGGGAACCUGCCGGGCCACUUUUGUGCAAGGGGCGGAUUGUGGCAGCCGGAGAGGCGCGUCAAGCGGGCCAGGCAGAAAGGGGGCUCGGGCCUGCGCGCGCGGCUUUGCAACGUCAGCUCCUCCCCGUCCCCGCCUCGAGUCGCAGCAAACAAAGUCUUGGACCCGCAGGCCGGUUGGGGAGGCACCGUGGUGGUUCGGAGGCCUGGCCCGGGGGCAGAAGGCCUGGGGUGCUCACGUUGGGGCCGUUGCAAGUUGUGCUGUGGGUGUGCAUGCAGUAAGCGUGCCAGUCCGUGAGAGUUGCUUGUGUGGAUUGUGGAGGUGCAAUCGUGGGGCUCAGCCAGGAUUUGUUUGUGUUUCGGGGGCUGUGUGUUUGGUCGGAGGCCGGCGAGACCUCAACAGACUGCGUGUUAGGAGGUCCAGCUCUUUGGGGCACCCGGAUUGUUUUGAGUUAGCGCGAAAACGCGAAGUCGAGAGGCUGCUGAGUGCCCAGGAGGGUGUGCAAACGCGGCUCAGGCGAUCUGCGUGCCGCGGGGACUUGGGCCGGAGCUGCACGUCACCCAGGGUGGGGGCGGCCGCUGGGGGUGACUUGGGACUCACUUGCGUUGGAGGGGAUCCUGAGCUGCGCGUCUCGGCCAGCACAAGGGCGGCACUGGUGUGGCUUGGGAUCCAGGCGCACCUGUGUCCAGCGAGGACGCUGGCGGUGGCGCCGUGUCCGCAAGCGCAGCACCAACUCCGGAGCUGGGCAAGCGGCAGUGCUGUUUCUUUUCUUUUCUUUUCUUUCUUUUUUUUAUUUGAAACUGCGCGUUUUCCUCGGCAGGCCUUCAUCUUUCCAGAACCCAUUGCUUGA
rnacentral:lncRNA from 1 species